GACGAACGCUGGCGGCGUGCCUAAUACAUGCGAGUUGAGCGAUGAAGAUUGGUGCUUGCACCAAUUUGAAGAGCAGCGAACGGGUGAGUAACGCGUGGGGAAUCUGCCUUUGAGCGGGGGACAACAUUUGGAAACGAAUGCUAAUACCGCAUAACAACUUUAAACAUAAGUUUUAAGUUUGAAAGAUGCAAUUGCAUCACUCAAAGAUGAUCCCGCGUUGUAUUAGCUAGUUGGUGAGGUAAAGGCUCACCAAGGCGAUGAUACAUAGCCGACCUGAGAGGGUGAUCGGCCACAUUGGGACUGAGACACGGCCCAAACGCCUACGGGAGGCAGCAGUAGGGAAUCUUCGGCAAUGGACGAAAGUCUGACCGAGCAACGCCGCGUGAGUGAAGAAGGUUUUCGGAUCGUAAAACUCUGUUGGUAGAGAAGAACGUUGGUGAGAGUGGAAAGCUCAUCAAGUGACGGUAACUACCCAGAAAGGGACGGCUAACUACGUGC
rnacentral:rRNA from 1 species